rnacentral:rRNA from 1 species
CCUACGGGAGGCAGCAGUGGGGGAUAUUGCACAAUGGGGGAAACCCUGAUGCAGCGACGCCGCGUGGGUGAAGAAGCGCCUCGGCGCGUAAAGCCCUGUCAGCCGGGAAGAAAAUGACGGUACCUGAAGAAGAAGCCCCGGCUAACUACGUGCCAGCAGCCGCGGUAAUACGUAGGGGGCAAGCAUUAUCCGGAUUUACUGGGUGUAAAGGGGGCGCAGACGGCGAUGCAAGCCAGGAGUGAAAGCCCGGGGCCCAACCCCGGGACUGCGCUUGGAACUGCGUGGCUAGAGUGCAGGAGGGGCAGGCGGAAUUCCUGGUGUAGCGGUGAAAUGCGUAGAUAUCAGGAGGAACACCGGUGGCGAAGGCGGCCUGCUGGACUGCAACUGACGUUGAGGCCCGAAAGCGUGGGGAGCAAACAGGAUUAGAUACCCGAGUAGUC